UACGGGGGGUGCGAGCGUUAAUCGGAAUUACUGGGCGUAAAGGGUGCGUAGGUUGUUUGAUAAGUUAGCUGUGAAAUACCUGGGCUUAACUUGGGGGAGUCAGCUAAGACUGUUGGACUUGAGUACGGGAGAGGGUAGUGGAAUUUCCGGUGUAGCGGUGAAAUGCGUAGAGAUCGGAAGGAACACCGGUGGCGAAGGCGGCUACCUGGCCUGAUACUGACACUGAGGCACGAAAGCGUGGGUAGCGAACAGG
rnacentral:rRNA from 1 species